AUAUAAUUCAAUUUUUUUUUUUUAAUUCAGAUAUUUACAUGAAAUAAUUAAGUAUUGAUAUAAUUUCACGUAGUCGCAAUUUAAUAUUAGUCAAUAAUUUAGAUUUACAUACAAAUUAUAAUAGCGGGGUACAAGUCUAGAUACAAGGACGAUUAUUUUAUUAUUUUUAUAUAAUAUAAUAGUUUUCGAUUUCGGUAAAUGUGAUAAUACAUAUAUGUGCUAAUAUUUCAUGCAAACGAAUUUAUUUUACAGAUAUUUAAGCAUAUAAACAACAUAAUUAUUAUAUAUUUGUGUAAAAUUCGAUACAGCAUUAUGUUACUAGUCGCAAGCUUGUCAGUUAUAAGCAGUAACUGUGAAUCGAUAAGCGUUUUUUUUUUUUUUUUAUAUUAAUACUAUUGAAAGAAAUGGACAUUAUUUGCUUAAGUAGUUUAUUAAAAUAUUAUUACAAUAGCAAGUCAAAGUUUUGGUCAAAUUUGAGACUGAAGAUUUCGUUCAGGUCUUUUACAAACGAUAAUAGCUUUCUUAGAAUUAAUUACCACUGCAUGUCAAUGUGGGGUUUUAUUGACCCCACUCAUUUAGAACGACUUUGACUUUUAAAUUUCUUGCCAUUGUAAAUAUUUGUAACAUUCAACUCUCAAUUUGUGUAAAAUGAUUCUUUUUUUGUAUUAACAGAUCGUUACAAUAAUAAUUUAUAAUUUUCACUCUAAUUCAUAAAAAUAAUAAAAUAUACAUUUUUCUAUACAUUGAAUACGCCCAAUCAAAAAUUUUAAUAUCAAUGAAAAUAUUUUAAAUACAUUAAGUAGAAUACAAUAAUUUUUUUAGUAACCUAAGAUUCGAUACAAUCAAAUUUCAAAAUAACUUAAUUGAGUCAAAAAACCGGUUAUACUCAAAUUUCAUAUUUAUUUAUAUAUAGCUUAUAGAAUUACAUAAGUAAAUAACGUCCACUUAGUAAUGGAACGAGUGGUAUCUGAACAAAUCAUUUAUACCCAGUUUCCAUUCAAAAAUCAAUUAGUUUUGCUUACUAAUCGUUUAACUUCGAACGUGUGUUGUAAGUAAAACGAAUCGUUAUUGAAUCUACCUACGAGUUAUAGAGAAGUCAACGUUAUACAAAUUUUCGAAGUCCCACGAUUACAAAACGCAUGCCUCGAUAUCCUUAAAAUUACAAUUCAACGAUAGUAUACAAUUUUCAAAUUCUAUUCCCGUUUAUAAAUAUCUCAAAUUUAGCAAAAUCUACGUCUAUGAGAUUGCGAAAACGUUGGAAAUACUUUAUAACAAUACGAUUAGCUUUUUGUUUAUCUUAUACGUUAUUAUAGUCUAGUAACAAUUUAUUGUAAAAAUUUUCCGCGUUUAUUAGGUUCGGAUUAUGCCAAUUCAAUGUCACUUGUGUUAAAAACAUUAACACAGACGCUUAAAAAAAAUUAAAAAAUUCAUCAAAUCGAAACUUCAUUUUUCAAUUUCAAAUUACUUACAUUUCUAGCGUCUGAUUUUUAUUUUAACUCACUAAGAGUUGAGUUUCUUCUAAAAUCUCGAAUAACUUUUAUCACCGUACAUUUAUUAUUCACAAGUAAUUAUUUUACGAAUCAGUUCACGUUUUAAAUUAAAUACACAUAAUAAAUCUUAAUGCACUAAUUAAUACGUCGUUACAUAAGACAGAUCUUUGGAUGCGUUUAUCGACGCUUUUGAAACCCCGUUCCUAUAUCCAAAAAACGAUUCAUUAAACCGACCGUUACAUAAUUCGAUUUCUAUGAUAAAACGAAUAGUUUCCUGAAUAUAGGGACAGUCGCUAAUCAAUUAUAAAUUUUAAGCUUAAUUUUAAUGAAGCUAGAUAAAGCGCGUGUUAAAUCAUACUGAAUAUAAUACAAUUUAUAUCUAUAUAAAAAAAAGUAAAAAUAUCUCAUUCUCUAAGCGGAUCUAAAUUACACCUUAAAACGAAACUCGUUCGACAUUGUAUGACGUCACAAAACAAACGAACAAACAAAAAAGACUAGAUCAUUAAAAAUUAAUUACAAUUCUACUUACAUACUAAAAUUCACAAACGCAAUGAGAAAAAAAAAUAUUAUAUUAACGUUAAAAAAAUGGUUACUAAGAUUUAUUAAAUAAAAAUUAAAAUAAUCGCUAAAAUACUUUGUGUAUCAUGUAUCGUUAAAAAAUAUCAAAGGUCAGGUCUGUUAACAAAAUAAGUAAAAUGUGUAAGUAAUUAAGUUACAUUAUUAGUAAAAUUGGUCAUUAUUAUCGAGAAACAUAUAUUGGCAGUGUUCGGGUAUUUGAAAACGAUACUAGCUUCCCUAGACAUCAUUGGAGUUGCCUUUUAAACAUUUAGGCAAAAUUUAUCCUAAUAUUUGUAAAAUAAAUCUAGCGGUACCUAAAUUAUAAAUGUGAAAUAUUAAAAAAAAUUGGCAACCCAGACUACAUAUAAUGCAAGAAUUUUUUUUUAAUCUAUGAAAAUCUUUUUUUAAUGUAUAUUAUAAUAUGGUCAGUAAUCACACACACAAUGAUGCAUUUAAGUAACGGAAAAAUAGAGACAGACCUAAUAAUCUAGACAUUUAAGAAUAAAUUGCCACUCAUAACCUAAGAUGAGGUGUCAUUAUGAAAAUAAAUUUAAACUAAUCUAUACAUUAGUCGGCGGUGCGUUAACGGUACAAGUGCGACGACCUCAGUCAGACCCAGAGUACUAUAGACUAAGGCCCCGUUGCUAUAUUGAAACGGCCAUUUUUAAUAAAUAUAAUAAAUGUAUACAUUCUUGAAAACACACACAGUCGUCUGUUUCUAAGGUAGGCAAUUUAAUGCCUGCAUUUUAGGUAAUAGCCAACUGAUACAGCUAUAUAUAUAUAUAUAUAUAUAUACUACACCCAGACGCGGGGUGAAAAACAAACCCGGGAAGGUCACUGCAAACUGCGUCAACGAAAUAUUAAAUUUCAAACAAUUCAUGUCUUGAAACUAUGCGUAUGCAAAACGAACCCUUUUCUGAAUAUAGCAACCAAGCAUUAUAAAUGUUUAGAAGCAAAAUAAAUAGUUUUGGUUAAAACUUAUACACUAUUCAUAACAUUUUUCGACACGUGUUUAUUUAGUAUUUGAAUGUAUAAAAAAAAAAAAACAAUAUUACAAACUCCAUUAUAUAAAGCUAUAUUCUAGAAUUACUUUCAUAAGUUUUUUUUAUUAUUAUUAAAAAACCACUCUGCGUGAUAUUUCAAAGAGCAUG
rnacentral:misc_RNA from 1 species